rnacentral:ncRNA from 1 species
UACGGACUUAAUUGGAUUGAGCCUUGGUAUGGAAACCUACUAAGUGAGAACUUUCAAAUUCAGAGAAACCCUGGAAUUAAAAAUGGGCAAUCCUGAGCCAAAUCCUGUUUUACGAAAAUAAACAAAGGGAUAGGUGCAGAGACUCAAUGGAAGCUGUUCUAACAAAUGGGGUUUGACUACCUUUGCGUUAGUAAAGGAAUCCUUCUAUCGAAACUACAGAAAGGAUGAAGAAUUGUUGUGAAUUAGUAUUGAUUCUAAGUUGAAGAAGGAAUCGAAUACAAUAUUCAUUAAUAAAAUCAUUCACCCCAUAGUUUGAUAAAUUUUUUGAACAACUGGUUAAUCGGACAAGAAUAAAGAUAGAGUCCCGUUCUACAUGUCAAUACUGACAACAAUGAAAUUUAUAGUAAGAGGAAAAUCCGUCGACUUUUAAAAUCGUGAGGGUUCA